AGGUGGGUUUUUGUGUAUGAGUUGAGGAUUGGGAUUGUAGGGACUGCUCUCACUAUUGGUUUUUCUUGGUGGUUAUCGGUUUUGGGGCUGUUUCUGUACACUGUUUGUGGUGGUUGUUCGGAAACAUGGACUGGUUUUUCAGCUCAAGCUUUUGUUGGGCUUUGGGAUUUCUUUAAGCUUUCUUUGGCUUCUGGAUUCAUGCUGUUAUUGGAGAAUAUUUAUUUUAGAGUUUUGGUGAAAGUGUCCGGCUAUAUGCACAAUUCUAAGAUUGCUGUUGAUGCCCUUUCCAUCUGCAUGAGUAUCUAUGCUUGGGAGUCGAUGAUUCCGCUAGGCUAGCUUUCUGGCAGCAAUUGGGUACGUGAUCACUGGUUAAUGCGGGUGGCAAAUGAACUUGGUGCAGGCAACGCAAAAGGUGCAAAAUUUGCAACCACAGUUUCAGUCUUGACCUCCCUAGCUGUGGGACUUCUAUUUUCAUUAAUAAUAGUAGCCUUCCUUGAGAAACUUGCAAUGAUUUUUACCUCCAGCAUUCCUGUUAUUGCUAUGGUCAAUGAUUUAUCAGUCUUGUUGGCAUUCACCAUUUUCCUCAAUUGCAUUCAACCAGUGCUCUCAGGUAGGGAAUUAGACCAGGCAAAUAGAUUUUCGCUCUAGUAAUUGUUUGAUCUCAUGGAAAUAUUUGUGGUCAUA